rnacentral:rRNA from 1 species
UACGUAGGGGGCUAGCGUUGUCCGGAUUUAUUGGGCGUAAAGAGCGUGUAGGCGGCCAGGUAGGUCUGCUGUGAAAACUCGAGGCUCAACCUCGAGACGUCGGCGGAAACCAUCUGGCUAGAGUCCGGAAGAGGAGAGUGGAAUUCCUGGUGUAGCGGUGAAAUGCGCAGAUAUCAGGAGGAACACCCAGUGGCGAAGGCAGGCUCG